AUUCCAGCUCCAAUAGCGUAUAUUAAAGUUGUUGCGGUUAAAAAGCUCGUAGUUGGAUUUCUGUUGAGAACGGCCGGUCCGCACUAUGUGCGUGUAUCUGGUUCGGUCUUGGCAUCCUCUUGGAGAACGUAACGGCGCUUGAUUGCGUGGUGCGGUAUUCAAGACUUUUACUUUGAGGAAAUUAGAGUGUUCACGGCAGGCAAGCGCCUUGAAUAUAUUAGCAUGGAAUAAUAAUAUAGGAUCUCGGUUCUAUUUUGUUGGUUUCUAGAAUCAGGAUAAUGAUUAAUAGGGAUAAUUGGGGGCAUUUGUAUUAACGCGUCAGAGGUGGAAUUCUUGGAUUGCGUUACGACAAACUACUGCGAAAGCAUUUGCCAAGGAUGUUUUCAUUG
rnacentral:rRNA from 1 species